rnacentral:misc_RNA from 1 species
UCCGGUUUGUCACCGGCAGUUCCGUCUGAGUCCCCAGCUUUACCUGUUGGCAACAGACGGCAAGGGUUGCGCUCGUUGCGGGACUUAACCCAACAUCUCACGACACGAGCUGACGACGGCCAUGCAGCACCUGUGCAGCAGGCCCAAAGGGCCGUUGGGCUUUCACCCAACUCCCACUGCAUGUCAAACCCUGGUAAGGUUUCUCGCGUACCAUCGAAUUAAACCACAUGCUCCACCGCUUGUGCGGGCCCCCGUCAAUUCCUUUGAGUUUCACCCUUGCGGGCAUACUCCCCAGGCGGUGCACUUAUCGCGUUAGCUGCGGCACGGACCCAUCUAAACACUCCAAGCCCUGGAAUGCUUAGAAGGGCCCACGCCUAGUGCACAUCGUUUACAGCGUGGA